ACGUUUCCCCAACAGGACCACCAGGAAUAUAGACGAACUCGAUCAAGCGAAUGGUGCAGACAUACUGGCAGCAAAUGGCAAUGGAUCGUUCAGAAUGGAAUACAAAAGGGGAGGCCUACAUCCAGCAGUCGAUAUCAACGGGCUGAUGAAGAAGACAAGAAGAAGAUGCUUUGAUUACCCAAAAAUUAAA